GGUCAUUUAAACUCCAAAUUUGCAGCUUAGCCUGAAAGAAGGACAUGGCAGUAAGUUGUAGGCAGUGGCACCAGUGGGAUUGAUAGGAAGCAUUCUCCAGUUGCUGCAACUCCAGAAAGCUAGUGAUCUCUAAGUUAAUCAAAUGGAGGCCUAUGCAAGUAUAAAAAAGUGGGUGUACAUUUUAUGGAAUGAAUAUUAGUGAUCUCCAGUUAUGUGUACAUUUUAUGUAAGUGUAAUGAAGUGUGUGUGUACACACAUACUAUUUUAAAGGAAUGUCUAGCUCCUUAUAUAUGGAA